rnacentral:lncRNA from 1 species
GCUUUUAUUCCGGCAAGUUAUGAUUUUUUUACUUUUACAUUAAUAAAAGCGUUGUCCCUGGCAGUGGUUCCUUUCAGUGCUUAAACAAUUUUUGUGUCAACAUAUCUUACGCUUUAUUUAUUUUUUUCAUGUUGUGUGGAUGCCCUUUACAGUUUCAAUGUAUUUUAUUUUUACAGAUAAAAAAGUUAUAAUAAAAAUACCGUUAAAAAAUGACAAAC